UACGUAGGGGGCAAGCGUUGUCCGGAAUCAUUGGGCGUAAAGCGCGUGUAGGCGGCCUUGUAAGUCCGUUCUGAAAGCCCGGGGCUCAACCCCGGGAGGCGGAUGGAUACUGCAAGGCUCGAGUACGGAAGAGGCGAGUGGAAUUCCCGGUGUAGCGGUGAAAUGCGCAGAUAUCAGGAGGAACACCAAUGGCGAAGGCAGCUCGCUGGGACGUUACUGACGCUGAGACGCGAAAGCUAGGGGAGCGAACAGG
rnacentral:rRNA from 1 species